UUACGGCAGCGUAGCGUCUCGUUCGAUUCCACGUACUCGAAUGGUAAAUUCAUGAACUGGUAAUGGACUUCGUUGCGUAACGGACAAAUUUUGUACAAGUAUCGUAAUUUAUACCGCUUUUCUUGGAUUUUUUUCGCAAUGGUUGUGAUGACAAAUCUUCCCGAAGAAGUGACAGAAAUUAUUCUGUGUUCUAACAAUAUCAGCAUCAAGACUUCGUAAAUUUUUCCUCCACCUGCAAGCAUUUUCAUCAGAUGAUCAAAAACAAGGACGGAAAUUUGAUCAGAGAUUCAAGUGAUGCAAGACGAUCAAAGCACGAGAGGUGGAGUAUUCACUACGAAUCGGAGAGGCCUAGUACCACCCCUGGUGACGACAAAUUUUGUAACUCAAGAUCAAGGAAACGCCUCUCCUAGAUACAUCAGAUCUACCAUGUAUACUGUCCCUAUUACCGCUGAUAUCAUAAAGCAGGCACCUGUCGUUAACAUAUGUUGAUGAUUCUGUCUGAUUACAUACAUCUUUUCACAACACAGCAUUCGCAUUUUUCAUAGACCAAUGUUCCGUUCGGACUUGUGAUUAGUCCAACGGCUCGUACUGUACCGAGAGGAUGCGAACCACCGAUUGUAGAUAUUAGUGAAAUCGGACUAGUACAUUGGUUACGUUGUAAAGCAUACAUGUGUCUAUUUAUGCAAUUUGUCGAUGCUAGCUGAAGAUUCCAAUGUAUGUUUUGUAAAGCAACGACGGAAGUUCCAAAUGAGUACUUUCAACAUUUGGAUCAUAGAAAUCACGUUUAAAUCGUUAUGAAGACUGGAACUGAUGUUGGGGUACAUUUGGACACAUAGAAGGAUUAUUACAGGGUAAUUAUCGUGUCUUUUGAUUCUAAAAUUAGUACACGGAUCAAAGAACCAGCGGUGUGCGAAAUACGAAGUCUGUAAGGAAAUAGAAGAUACCAUUAAUCAAACUUCCGUCGCGAAAAUGUGUCGUUUUUGAUCAUCUGAUGAAAAUGCUUGCACGUGGAGGAAAAGUUUACGAAAUCUUGGGUGCUGAUAUUGUUAGAACACAGAAUAAUCUCUAUCACUUCUUCGGGAAGAUUUGUUAUCACAGCCAUUGCGAAGAAAAUCCAAGAGGAGCGGUAUAAAUCUAUUCCGAUAUAUGUACAAAAUUUGUUGUAUAUUGUCAGUUAUACAACGAACUCCAUUAGUUGAUAAAUCUACUAUUCAUUUACGUGGAAUCGAGUCAAGUAUAUGAAAUGGAGAAACUGCAAUACGACACUCUUUCCGCACAUGUGUAUUGGAUAAACAUUCCCUGUAACCAGUGUCAAAAUAAAAAACUCAGUAUAAAAUUUGUAAACCGAAUUUGUAAACGUGUCUUUUAGUAAAUACAGUUUACUCGUUUCACCAAAGAUUUGGUUGUUGUCUAUUCGAUUAUUCUUGUGUAUUACAAAAUAAAUAAAUUGUAUCAAUCU